rnacentral:rRNA from 1 species
GACGAACGCUGGCGGCGUGCUUAACACAUGCAAGUCGAACGAAGUGGCGAACGGGUGAGUAACGCGUAAUCAACCUGCCCUUCAGAGGGGGACAACAGUUGGAAACGACUGCUAAUCCCGCAUACUGAAGGAGGGGAUUGCGUCUGAUUAGCUAGGUGGGGGGGUAACGGCCCACCAAGGCGAUGGUCAGUAGCCGGGCGGAGAGGAUGAACGGCCACAUUGGGACUGAGACACGGCCCAGACUCCUACGGGAGGCAGCAGUGGGGAAUUUGGCACAAUGGGCGCAAGCCUGAUCCAGCCAUGCCGCGUGUCUGAAGAAGGCCUUCGGGUUGUAAAGGACUUUUGUUAGGGAAGCGGUACCUAAAGAAUAAGCACCGGCUAAUUCCGUGCCAGCAGCCGCGGUAAUAC